UUGAAACCUGGCAAGGCUUAUCUACCUAGACCUUCGGAGUGGCUGUGGGGCUGCUACCAGGAAAUUUCGGGGACAUUUCUUGUACUCAGGGCUGGUGCUAUGGGAGAGCUGGAGGUUGCUGUCACCUAUGAGACCAUGCAGUUUUGGAGGGGCACAAUUUGAAUCCAGCUAUCAUUUUGGACUGGCUUUAGGUUCUUUUGGUGAGUAGACGAUAUCUGAAGUGCUGCACCCACAUUAUGACUAUGUGCCUACUCACAAGAAGAUGGCAAAGAUGAAGACUUUUAUGAUGAUCCACUUCCACUUAAUGAACAGCUGAAGCCCCUUCACCUUCUGCCAUGAGUGGAAGCAGCCUGAGGACCUCACCAAAGGCAGAUUCUGGUGCCAUGCUCCUUGUCCAAUCUGCAGAACUAUGAGCCAAAUAAACCAUUUUUCUUUAUAAAUUACC
rnacentral:lncRNA from 1 species